rnacentral:rRNA from 1 species
UACAGAGGGUGCGAGCGUUAAUCGGAUUUACUGGGCGUAAAGGGCGCGUAGGUGGCUUUGCAAGUCGGGUGUGAAAUCCCCAGGCUUAACCUGGGAAGUGCAUUCGAGACUGCAUUGCUAGAGUAUGGGAGAGGGAAGUGGAAUUUCCGGUGUAGCGGUGAAAUGCGUAGAUAUCGGAAGGAACAUCAGUGGCGAAAGCGACUUCCUGGACCAAUACUGACGCUCAGGUGCGAAAGCGUGGGGAGCAAACAGG